rnacentral:rRNA from 1 species
AUACGUAGGGGGCGAGCGUUGUCCGGAAUGAUUGGGCGUAAAGGGCGCGUAGGCGGCCCGGUAAGUCUGGAGUGAAAGUCCUGUUUUUAAGAUGGGAAUUGCUUUGGAUACUGUCGGGCUUGAGUGCAGGAGAGGUAAGUGGAAUUCCCAGUGUAGCGGUGAAAUGCGUAGAGAUUGGGAGGAACACCAGUGGCGAAGGCGACUUACUGGACUGUAACUGACGCUGAUGCGCGAAAGUGUGGGGAGCAAACAGGAUUAGAUACCCUGGUAGUCCACACUGUAAACGAUGAAUGCUAGGUGUAGGGGGUAUCGACCCCUUCUGUGCCGCAGUCAACACAAUAAGCAUUCCGCCUGGGGAGUACGGCCGCAAGGUUGAAACUCAAAGGAAUUGACGGGG